CUUGAACCGGGAACAGAAACACGAGCAUAAAACGCACGUAAACUGCUUGCGUAGUAAGAAGUGCAGAUCUAAGCCAAUUAUUUUACAAAUUGUCCCCCACCACUCAUUCAGGCAGUGUCACAAAAGUGUCAGACUUAAAAUGAACCUGUGACAGUGACUUGUUUACAAAUUUUCAGAAUGUUUUGUUAAACAAAAACCAAAUCGAAACAAACUGCUUUUAUGUUAUGGGGUUAUAGAAUGCAUAUCAGAAGUAGCUUGACUCGAAGAAAAGGAUAGUCCUACUGGAUCCUUGGUUGAGAUGAGAAUGGGUAUCCAGCUGAGUAUUGGUAGAGCUUGCUGUAAGCUGGACACCCUAGUGUAUAUAAUGGGAAUGGUUUUGACUGUCCUAUACCUGCUAGCUGGGGUAGCUGCUAUCAUAUGGUUCGUUCUAACUCACUCUCAGAACCUUGAAUCAGCGGAGGAGAUGUCAGAUCUUUAUCUGGUGAUGAUGGAGAGUGUUAAGG